rnacentral:rRNA from 1 species
AUUGAACGCUGGCGGCAUGCCUUACACAUGCAAGUCGAACGGCAGCGCGGGCUUCGGCCUGGCGGCGAGUGGCGAACGGGUGAGUAAUACAUCGGAACGUGCCCUGUCGUGGGGGAUAACUGGUCGAAAGAUUAGCUAAUACCGCAUACGACCUGAGGGUGAAAGCGGGGGACCGUAAGGCCUCGCGCGAUAGGAGCGGCCGAUGUCUGAUUAGCUAGUUGGUGGGGUAAGAGCCUACCAAGGCGACGAUCAGUAGCUGGUCUGAGAGGACGAUCAGCCACACUGGGACGGAGACACGGCCCAGACUCCUACGGGAGGCAGCAGUGGGGAAUUUUGGACAAUGGGGGCAACCCUGAUCCAGCAAUGCCGCGUGUGUGAAGAGGGCCUUCGGGUUGUAAAGCACUUUUGUCCGGAAAGAAAUCCCCUGCCCUAAUACGGCGGGGGGAUGACGGUACCGGAAGAAUAAGCACCGGCUAACUACGUGCCAGCCGCCGCGGUAA